AAGGGGUGUGUGUAUUAAACACCUGUAAUCCCUGCACACUAGGAGGCUGAGGCAGGAAGACUGAGUGCAAAUUCCAGCAAGGCCUGGUCAACUUCUCGACUUAAUGAGACACUCAAAAUAAGAAAGGGCUGUAGAUAUAGCUCGGUGAGAAAAUCCUGGAUUUAAAACUCAUUAUGCACACACACACACACACACACACACACACACACACACACACAAAGAAAAUACUUGGCGGGCAUAUUUGAGGUCCCUUCCUUCCUGGGGGCAACUCUUAGGACAUCUUCAGGUGACAUCCCAAGGCCCUACUCAGUCGUUAGCAUUUGCCAAGGCUCUGGCCGGUAGUGUUCCCAGAAGCCACAUUCUGGAACUCAGAAAGCAGGGCCCGGCGGAGGUCUGGCACAGCACUCUGACUGCAAAGGACUCUGGGAAAUGUAUUCCAGCAUUGGAAGACUAACUGUACCGGAUCUGGGUUGUGCAGUUGCUCUUUGCCAGAUUCCUGAUGCCAAGCAAAAUGUUCCGCGCGGGGGAAAAAAACUACAAGGAAGUUUCAGGGGCCACCAAACACGGAGCAACUUGAGGAGCAGGGAAGCAUGGCUAUUGUGGAUCAAAAAACUAUGUUCAAGGU
rnacentral:lncRNA from 1 species